rnacentral:rRNA from 1 species
CCCUUAGAUGUCCUGGGCCGCACGCGCGCUACACUGAGUGUCUGAGAUACGAGUCUGCCUGGUCCGGCAAGGUCUAGGUAAUCGCUAAAAGACACAUCAUGCUUGGGAUAGAUUAUUGCAAAUAUUAAUCUUGAACGAGGAAUUCCUAGUAAGCGCAAGUCAACAGCUUGCGUUGAUUACGUCCCUGCCCUUUGUACACACCGCCCGUCGCUACUACUGAUUGGAUGUUUAAGCGAGGUUCUCGAACUGCUAGCGACUUAGCUUCGGUGAGGUCGCAGUGUGGGAAGUGAACCUAGCUUUGGUGUCCAGAGGAAGUAAAAGUCGUAACA